GCCGCGCUCCGUCCGGGGCCGGCAGCGAGCGUGGGGUUCGGCCGCUCCACGUUCGGCGGUGCCGUGGCUCGGAGGCGCUUUGGAGGCGUUGAUGGCAUCGCUGGGUUCGGUUUGCAGCGGCUGUCCGCUAAGGGGGUACUCACAAAAUAUGUCUCCCUUAGUGUCCCACAGAAACAUUCUGGGUGAAAUCUGAAUUAAGUGCUAUGAGUCUUGAUAAAUUGGAGAAGUGCCCAAGAGAAAUUCAUCAUCCUGAGAUACAAAAGGUAGGAAGUGACUUUUUUUGGUUUGGUUCUUUUUCUUUAUUUUUUUCUGGAAAUAGAAGUAAUUAAGUAUAGAUACUACUGGUUUGUUUCUUCCAGUAGCUGAUAAUACUAAUACCAAUAAUAAUAAUAAUAAGAGUAAAGUAAUACUACUUCAACUGUCUUUAUUUAUCCAUUGAACUGGCCAUUUUAAAUCUAAACUUCUAAACACAAAUCAAACCAUCAUCCUUGUAGAAUCUUUAAUAGGAGUGGGCUAAAGAUCCUGGUUUUGUUGACAGGAUUUAUUGGUUCAUGAAGAGCAAGAGGUAAGUACAAGCCUAACUACCCUCUAGCUCACAGACCUGCCCAGUGAAUAGAGCUUUGUUUUUUUGAUGGGCUUGUGAUGACUUUGAGAUCAAUUGCUCAUUCAUUACAGUAAAAAAAAAAAAAAUUGUUUUGAACAUGACAGCAAAAAUAACUUUAAGCACAACUUAAUAAUAAUAGAUCACCAAUUUUAGUUAAUAAUUUUAUGCUGUACUCUUGGGUGAGGGAAGACUCGGACACCCAAUAUGAGAUCAGCAAGCUAUGUUUAUUGCAGAGAGUAUCAGACACUUAUACAGCACAUAAUAAGCUUAUGAAUAUUCUGUAAGCCAAGCGAUCUAUUGGUUAAACUAUACCAUCAACUCUUCCUCAUUCCUUUGGGCCUACAUUCCCUAUUUCCCACGUCUCUCUGUCUACUUGUUAUCCUACCCAGCUAGGCCCAGGCACACGCUAUCUUGCAGGUGCAAAACUCAAAAAUACCUGUGUUCGGUACUUUCCCAGCUCCUGGUCGGCUAACGAGCGAAUGUCUGCGUGACCUCUGUCAUGGAGCCAUUUCUCCACACUAUACUAUCAAAGUUUAAAGGGAUCAGUGAAUUUUAACUCUAGAGUCCUCUAUGCUAAGGAUGCUCAGCUUACAGAUGAUGAAAUGUUCAGUAAUGUAUUUGCUGGAGCUGUGCUUACCCAAGGUUUGGGUAAAACAAGCUUUGGGUUCCCUCUGUCUCACUGGGAGUUGCCCAAUUCAGUUGCAUCUGGUGAAAUUCACCCUGAGACCUUACAGAACCAGCUCCAACUACGUGAGAGCCAUUUGCAGUUCUCUCCAGACGCCUGGAGAAUGGGCGACGUUUCUGAGGAUCCGGCGAGCGUGCUUCUAUCAAAACUCAGUCUGUGAAAUUUCUGGGGAAAACCCUUCUGUGUCCUGAAGGGUUCAAACUCUGGUGAGGAUCCAGUUAUCAGGUGCUCACCUGGAUGGUUCCAGCUGCCAAAGGGAAAGACUCUCGUAUCCUUGUCGUCGGGCUCGGUGCUGUCCAAGAAGAUACAGAGACUAAAAAAAUCAUAAGAAGCAAAAUAUGACUGCAGGGAAAAGAAGCUGGAGAGAACAGAAGACUCAUCACGGCGGGACAGCGUGAGGACUGAAAGUGUAAGAAGAUGCGGAGGGAAAGAGAGAAUCUGACAGGAGCAGCGAACGCACGAGUGCACGAAUUUUGCUUUUUGCUUGGAUGUAAACUCAGGAGUUGAAAGGAAUUUGGGAGUGAGAAGGGACAUUUCAGAAGGAGAAGAAGAAAAAGAAGUUGUUGUUGUUGCUACAGUCCUGGCAAAAGCUUUUGUUCUAGCUAAUAAAAGAAGUUAGUUUAAAAAACAAAAAGGAAAAAAUGUAGUGUGUUUUUUUU